rnacentral:lncRNA from 1 species
UCCCACAUCCAAAACAAUUUUUGGAUGAUUUUUAUGUCAUAUGGGAUGCCCCUUAUAUAAGGAAUGAAGGGGUGCCACAUAAAUCCCAAGGGGUACCAACUCUUGGCAUCCCUUAUUCAUUACACGCACCAUAUUAAUUUUUUGCAUGUAAUCCCAUAGGUUAAGACAUGGAAUAGGAAGAGAUUAAUAAGUAGAAAGAUUCCUCCUUUGCAUAGAAAAAUUUGGAAACCAUCUUAUGGUGCAUGGAAAAAGAAUUAGCGUGAGAUACCAAGAGUCCUUAACAAUUAAAACUCUUCCACAAACUCAAUGCAUAUAAGGGAGAAUCUAAUUUAUUUUGGCAUUCAAACUCCUUGCC